CAAUGGAAAUCCCCGAUGGAACCAGCUAUCUACAGACUACUCUAAUCCUGAAAUGGGUAGAAAUGAGGGUGGUGAGAUUAUAAAAUCUCUGUGAGUAAACAAACACCAUUUAAAUUAGCUAAAGCCGAGUAAAAAGAGACAAUUAAAAUGUUCCAUCACAAUACGUAUUUCACAAUUUGAAAAUUCAUCCCAACCCAUGCAAACGGUUAUAUUUCAUUUAAUUUCUCAUGAAGGCUUAUGACUUCCAUAAACGUUUGGCUCAUGCCAUCAAGUAGUACUCGAUGACACCUUGAUCAGAGGCGUACACUCGAGCCCGCCAAGGUUGUUAAAAUUUCGUAUACUCGUAAAACAUAUUUUUAGUUUGAAAAACACAGUCAUUCCUUGGAGUUAGCGGAGUUCAUCAUCACGAGGUGGUUCGACGUGACGUGAACUCUGUCCAUACCUCAGGAGAUACCCUACGCACCUCUCCGAUCGAGGUACAUAUAUAUAUCCGGAUUCCAUGCCCCUCUAAUAGGCUGGUCCACAGAAUCCGCCUACUGCAGUAAGCUAAACCCACCAUACAAUAAAAUUUUGAUAACAUGACAGGGCUAAUAUUUUACUACCCAACCUGCAAGGGUAAAAUAAAAUAAUUCAUACAAUUCAUAAAACACAGCCCAACCAGUCAUGCCAACACAAUAACAAUAUAACAUAAGCCAUCAAUUUCCAAUCAUAAAUUUGCAACAUACUAGUGGUCUCCAAUUACUCUAUUUUCCAAAUCGUUAUUUCGUUUCAAGACAAUUUAUAAAGUUUUUUCAUUUAAACACAUUUUGUUUACAAAACAUAAAAAUUUACCAUUUUAACUCAUUUUCAUAAAAUUCACCAAAACCGAAUAAAAACAUACUUUAGAUAAUUAAAAUGAUGGUAAGGCUACUCACAAUGUCUAGAGUGGGGAUUUUCGAAAUACUCAGACUACUGGUCCUCGAAUGCAAUUCCUUGGCCUUUAUCGGAGGACUCACCACCUUGACACAGUACAAAAUCGAGAAAUUCACCACAUUGGUACUAAAUUGAAAUUAAACUAAUUUAGACUACUAAUGCAUGAUAUGGAAUGCAAAAGGUCUAAAUUUUGCCUAAACACCGUAUUGACCUAUUUCGAUCUUUUAC
rnacentral:lncRNA from 1 species